GGCUACGUAGCUCAGCUGGUUAGAGCACAUCACUCAUAAUGAUGGGGUCGGUGGUUCGAAUCCACCCGUAGCCACCA
rnacentral:tRNA from 13 species